AUCCAGCCAUGCCGCGUGAGUGAUGAAGGCCUUAGGGUUGUAAAGCUCUUUCACCGGAGAAGAUAAUGACGGUAUCCGGAGAAGAAGCCCCGGCUAACUUCGUGCCAGCAGCCGCGGUAAUACGAAGGGGGCUAGCGUUGUUCGGAAUUACUGGGCGUAAAGCGCACGUAGGCGGAUAUUUAAGUCAGGGGUGAAAUCCCAGAGCUCAACUCUGGAACUGCCUUUGAUACUGGGUAUCUUGAGUAUGGAAGAGGUAAGUGGAAUUCCGAGUGUAGAGGUGAAAUUCGUAGAUAUUCGGAGGAACACCAGUGGCGAAGGCGGCUUACUGGUCCAUUACUGACGCUGAGGUGCGAAAGCGUGGGGAGCAAACAGGAUUAGAUACCCUG
rnacentral:rRNA from 1 species